CCUACGGGAGGCAGCAGUGAGGAAUAUUGGACAAUGGGCGCAAGCCUGAUCCAGCCAUGCCGCGUGCAGGAAGAAGCAUCUAUGGUGUGUAAACUGCUUUUGUACAGGAAGAAACACUCCCUCGUGAGGGAGCUUGACGGUACUGUAAGAAUAAGGACCGGCUAACUCCGUGCCAGCAGCCGCGGUAAUACGGAGGGUCCGAGCGUUAUCCGGAAUCAUUGGGUUUAAAGGGUCCGUAGGCGGUUUAAUAAGUCAGUGGUGAAAUCUGGUCGCUCAACGAUCAAACGGCCAUUGAUACUGUUAGACUUGAAUUAUAAGGAAGUAACUAGAAUAUGUAGUGUAGCGGUGAAAUGCUUAGAUAUUACAUGGAAUACCAAUUGCGAAGGCAGGUUACUACUUAUGGAUUGACGCUGAUGGACGAAAGCGUGGGGAGCGAACAGGAUUAGAUACCCUGGUAGUCCACGCCGUAAACGAUGGAUACUAGCUGUUCGGAGCAAUNUGAGUGNGUAGAGAAGUAGAGUAAGUAAGUACCACCGUCGGGAGGUAACGGUUACGUCGAAGAAAGUAAGUUAAACGUUAACGAAAGGAAAGUUAGGUUACGGCGUUGGAGGACGUUAGCCGAACGGACGACGACGAGGGGAAGGUUAGGAGG
rnacentral:rRNA from 1 species